GAAGACCCAUUCCAUGCCAUGGGGGAAGGAGAAACAGAGCAAGCUGUCCGGCCUAGAAACACCUGAAAAUGGGAGGGGCGAAAGAGGGGAUGAAGUGGAUGGGCGAGUGAGGGAAUCAAAUCAACAGAUACGGCCAGGUGACGGCACCAGUCUUAUAAGUGUCUUUGAAAGCAUGAUAUACUUAGGCUGUGGUUGUCCAACUUGAAACACACAUACUGUCUCUUUCACUGUAUAUGUUAUGAACAUAUAAUAUGUGUCAUAAAAAUGGAACAUGUCCUCACUACACACAAAUGCGAGCGUUUCUGCAUCUCACCGGUAGAAAUGAGACAUUUACACUUCAUGGUUGUAAGCAAACCACAAUAUCCAGAAUUCAUUGCGAUUUCAGGAUGUAGGACUGUCACGUCGUGUGUAUAGGUGGCAGGGAAGUCAGGCGCAGGAGAAUCGAACUUCGUUUGAAUGGAGUAGUUUAAUAACUUAAACAAACACAGCUCCAAAACCAUUUUACAUAAAUAAAAGCAAAGUGGGUACGAGGACCCGUCGACCACCAAUACAAACAACACGAGCAUGAAAAAAAAAAGCUCUAACAAGGGCAUGAGGGGAAACAGAGGGUUAAAUACACAACAGGUAAUGAAUGGGAUUGGAACCAUGUGUGUAGGGAGACAAGACAAAACCAAUAGAAAAUGAAAAAUGGAUCAAUGAUGGCUAGAAGACCGGUAACGUCGACCGGAGAGCACCGCCCGAACAAGAAGAGGCAUCGUCUUCGGUAGAAGUCGUGACAAGUACAGCGCCUGUCGAGGUGGACCCAGUUGAGAAUGGGUGUCAACAGAUUCUGAUCCCAUCAACAUCAAGCUCAGCACCAAUAACUAAUUUGGUUUUGUUCAUUGAACCUACCAGCGUUUUCUUGUUUUUCCCGGCUUUGAUCCUUCUGCCUGCCCUGACCUUGAGCCUGCCUGCCGUCCUGUACCUUUGCCCCACUACUCUGGAUUACCGACCUCUGCCUGACCUGAC